GCCCAACACGGUGCCGCCUCCCUCCCGCACCCCGGCCUUCUCUGCCUCCCACUCACUCGACGCCUCCGCCGCCGCCGCCGCCGGGAUGAAGAACCCCGACUUCACUGCAGACAAAGCGCUCGCCAAGGACUUCCUGUCCAACUUCGUCGGCCCUCACGGCGACCCCAAGUACCUGAACAUCCUGCAAGAUGUCGCCAACAGGAAGAUACGCGCGGUCCAGAUCGAGCUGGACGACCUGUUUCAUCACAAGGACGUCGAUGAGGAGUUCCUGCAGCGUGUCACUGAGAACACGCGGCGCUACGUCGGCAUCUUCGCGGAGGCCAUGGACGAGAUCAUGCCGGAGCCCACUGAGGCGUACACCGUCGACGAGGACCGGGACAUCCUGAUGACGCAGCGUGUGGACGAGGGGGUGGACGGCGGCGCGGACGGCACGGACCCGCUGCAGAGAAUGCCACCAGAUAUCAAACGGUUCUUUGAGGUUUACAUCAAGACAUUCUCAAAGGCAACUCCACUCACCAUUAGACAAGUAAAGGCAUCCAACAUUGGGCAGCUUGUGAAAAUAUCUGGGAUUGUUACUCGCUGCUCGGAUGUGAAGCCCUUGAUGCAGGUUGCUGUUUAUACAUGUGAAGAAUGUGGCUUUGAGAUAUACCAGGAAGUGACUGCUAGAGUGUUUAUGCCCCUCAUUGAAUGUCCAUCUCAACGAUGCAAGCUGAACAAAGCAAAGGGGAAUCUAAUCCUUCAAUUGCGUGCAUCGAAGUUUUUGAAAUUUCAGGAGGUGAAGCUUCAAGAGUUAGCAGAGCAUGUACCCAAGGGCCACAUUCCUCGUUCUCUGACUGUUCAUCUAAGAGGAGAGCUGACUAGAAAGGUUGCACCUGGAGAUGUGGUUGAGAUGUCAGGAAUUUUUCUCCCUAUGCCUUACUAUGGGUUUAGAGCAAUGCGUGCAGGAUUAGUUGCUGAUACUUACUUGGAAGCAAUGUCUGUCACACAUUUCAAGAAAAAAUAUGAGGAGUAUGAUCUCAAAGGUGAUGAACAAGAACAAAUUGACAGAUUGGCUGAGGACGGUGAUAUCUACAGUAAGUUGGCAAGGUCCUUGGCACCUGAAAUAUUUGGCCAUGAAGACGUCAAAAAAGCACUGCUGUUACUACUUGUUGGUGCACCCCAUAGGAAGCUCGCAGAUGGCAUGAAGAUCAGAGGCGACCUGCAUAUAUGCAUGAUGGGAGAUCCUGGUGUUGCAAAGAGUCAACUUCUGAAGCAUAUUAUCAAUGUUGCACCAAGAGGAGUGUACACCACUGGACGUGGGAGCAGUGGUGUUGGUCUUACCGCUGCCGUCCAAAAGGAUCCAGUAACAAAUGAGUUUGUCCUCGAGGGUGGAGCACUGGUACUGGCAGAUAUGGGCAUUUGUGCUAUAGAUGAGUUUGACAAGAUGGAAGAGUCAGACCGGACAGCAAUCCAUGAGGUAAUGGAGCAGCAAACAGUUAGCAUUGCCAAGGCUGGCAUCACCACCUCUCUCAAUGCGAGAACUGCAAUUCUGGCUGCUGCAAAUCCAGCAUGGGGAAGGUACGACAUGAGGAGGACUCCAGCAGAAAAUAUAAAUCUACCUCCGGCACUCCUGUCCCGUUUCGACCUGCUUUGGUUGAUCCUGGAUCGCGCGGACAUGGAAACCGAUCUCGAAAUGGCGAGGCACAUUGUUCAUGUUCAUCAAAACCUUGAAUCGCCGGCGCUGGGGUUCACACCACUCGAGCCAUCUGUGCUCAGGGCAUACAUAUCUGCAGCUAGAAGAGUGAUUCCUUCCGUUCCUAGAGAGCUCGAGGAAUACAUUGCGACUGCAUAUUCCAGCAUCCGCCAAGAGGAGGCGAAGUCGAACGCGCCAACCUCCUACACAACCAUCAGGACGCUUCUGAGCAUACUCCGUAUCUCUAUCGCCUUGGCAAGGCUUAGGUUCUCAGAAACCGUGGCCCAGAGCGACGUCGACGAAGCACUGCGGCUGAUGCAGAUGUCCAAGUACUCGUUGUACUCGGACGACCGCCAGCGGUCUGGCCUCGAUGCGAUAUCUGACAUAUAUUCCAUCCUGAGAGACGAGGCCGCGAGGACGAGCAGCAUGGACGUGAGAUAUGCUCAUGCUCUUAACUUGAUCUCCAGAAAGGGAUACAGCGAGGCUCAAUUGAAGGAGUGCUUGGAGGAAUACGCUUCCCUGAAUGUGUGGCAGAUCCAUCCGAGCACCUUUGACAUCCACUUCAUCGAUGCCUGAUGCUGAAGCCGGCACCGAUCACCAAACAAAUUUCAUCAUGAGUUUGUGGCUUCAUGAUUUGUGACGGGAGGGAUGAACACCGUCGACUGAAGCCUAACAGGAUCCAAAACGAACAAGCCCUUCAUGAUGUCGAUGAUGUAAUGCUAUCACAGGCACAGCUGUACUAGUAGAACCAUUCUUCUCUGACUUAUUAUGAGUAGCAAUCUCCUUGUGUGACACUAAUGUAGAUGUACCCUACUGUGUUUCCUUUAUUGCAGCUGAUAUAAGAGAUGUGUAUUCUUUUGGCUACCAAGGACAUUGAA